CACCCCCCCCACCCACCCCCUUCCUUUCUCCUUCGUUUCCUUCUUAGCCUCGCUUCCCUCGCCGUCGAGCUCGCUCCACUUAUCCAGGGUAAUAGCAUUCGUUGGAUACGAUAGUAUCUCUACACUGCCGUGAUUUGUUGUGGUCAUCUUCGAUUAACUCUUUCAGUGAUUCUUGGCCUAAAUAAAUGUAUUAUAUGUGGGAAUGGUAUUAAUU